AGACCCGAAACCCGGUGAUCUAGCCAUGGGCAGGUUGAAGGUUGGGUAACACUAACUGGAGGACCGAACCGACUAAUGUUGAAAAAUUAGCGGAUGACCUGUGGCUGGGGGUGAAAGGCCAAUCAAACCGGGAGAUAGCUGGUUCUCCCCGAAAGCUAUUUAGGUAGCGCCUCGUGAAUUCAUCUCCGGGGGUAGAGCACUGUUUCGGCUAGGGGGCCAUCCCGGCUUACCAACCCGAUGCAAACUGCGAAUACCGGAGAAUGUUAUCACGGGAGACACACGGCGGGUGCUAACGUCCGUCGUGAAGAGGGAAACAACCCAGACCGCCAGCUAAGGUCCCAAAGUCAUGGUUAAGUGGGAAACGAUGUGGGAAGGCCCAGACAGCCAGGAUGUUGGCUUAGAAGCAGCCAUCAUUUAAAGAAAGCGUAAUAGCUCACUGGUCGAGUCGGCCUGCGCGGAAGAUGUAACGGGGCUAAACCAUGCACCGAAGCUGCGGCAGCGACACUGUGUGUUGUUGGGUAGGGGAGCGUUCUGUAAGCCUGUGAAGGUGUGUCGUGAGGCAUGCUGGAGGUAUCAGAAGUGCGAAUGCUGACAUAAGUAACGAUAAAGCGGGUGAAAAGCCCGCUCGCCGGAAGACCAAGGGUUCCUGUCCAACGUUAAUCGGGGCAGGGUGAGUCGACCCCUAAGGCGAGGCCGAAAGGCGUAGUCGAUGGGAAACGGGUUAAUAUUCCCGUACUUGGUGUUACUGCGAAGGGGGGACGGAGAAGGCUAUGUUGGCCGGGCGACGGUUGUCCCGGUUUAAGCGUGUAGGUGUGUGUUCCAGGUAAAUCCGGUUCACUUUAACACUGAGGCGUGAUGACGAGGCACUACGGUGCUGAAGCAACAAAUGCCCUGCUUCCAGGAAAAGCCUCUAAGCAUCAGGUAACACGAAAUCGUACCCCAAACCGACACAGGUGGUCAGGUAGAGAAUACCAAGGCGCUUGAGAGAACUCG
rnacentral:rRNA from 1 species